rnacentral:rRNA from 1 species
CGCUGGCGGCGUGCCUAAUACAUGCAAGUCGAACGCUUCUUUCCUCCCGAGUGCUUGCACUCAAUUGGAAAGAGGAGUGGCGGACGGGUGAGUAACACGUGGGUAACCUACCCAUCAGAGGGGGAUAACACUUGGAAACAGGUGCUAAUACCGCAUAACAGUUUAUGCCGCAUGGCAUAAGAGUGAAAGGCGCUUUCGGGUGUCGCUGAUGGAUGGACCCGCGGUGCAUUAGCUAGUUGGUGAGGUAACGGCUCACCAAGGCCACGAUGCAUAGCCGACCUGAGAGGGUGAUCGGCCACACUGGGACUGAGACACGGCCCAGACUCCUACGGGAGGCAGCAGUAGGGAAUCUUCGGCAAUGGACGAAAGUCUGACCGAGCAACGCCGCGUGAGUGAAGAAGGUUUUCGGAUCGUAAAACUCUGUUGUUAGAGAAGAACAAGGACGUUAGUAACUGAACGUCCCCUGACGGUAUCUAACCAGAAAGCCACGGCUAACUACGUGCCAGCAGCCGCGGUAAUACGUAGGUGGCAAGCGUUGUCCGGAUUUAUUGGGCGUAAAGCGAGCGCAGGCGGCUUCUUAAGUCUGAUGUGAAAGCCCCCGGCUCAACCGGGGAGGGUCAUUGGAAACUGGGAGACUUGAGUGCAGAAGAGGAGAGUGGAAUUCCAUGUGUAGCGGUGAAAUGCGUAGAUAUAUGGAGGAACACCAGUGGCGAAGGCGGCU